GAUGAACGCUGACAGAAUGCUUAACACAUGCAAGUCAACUUGAACUUCGGUUUGGGUGGCGGACGGGUGAGUAACGCGUAAAGAACUUGCCUCACAGAUAGGGACAACAUUUGGAAACGAAUGCUAAUACCUGAUAUUAUGAUUUUAGGGCAUCCUAGGAUUAUGAAAGCUAUAUGCGCUGUGAGAGAGCUUUGCGUCCCAUUAGCUAGUUGGAGAGGUAACGGCUCACCAAGGCGAUGAUGGGUAGCCGGCCUGAGAGGGUGAUCGGCCACAAGGGGACUGAGACACGGCCCUUACUCCUACGGGAGGCAGCAGUGGGGAAUAUUGGACAAUGGACCAAGAGUCUGAUCCAGCAAUUCUGCGUGCACGAUGAAGUUUUUCGGAAUGUAAAGUGCUUUCAGUUGGGAAGAAAAAAAUGACGGUACCAACAGAAGAAGUGACGGCUAAAUACGUG
rnacentral:rRNA from 1 species